GACCCGGAAGCGGAGCCCCGCGAGCGGGAAGCCGGUCCGGCGGGGGCGAAGGAGCAUCGCGCAGGCGCCGGCUCUGCCGCGGCACGCCCCGCCCCCCGCGCUGCCCGCGGCCAAUGGCGAGCGAGGGCGGGGCUGGCCUGGCCGUGAGGGGACGGCAGGAAUGGCGCGGCGGGAAGGGCUGGAAUGACUGCGUGGCAGGGGUUGGGGUACCGGGAGCGGCUCCGAGAGGCCGGGGAAUUUAGAGUCGGCGCGGGUGGGUCCCCUGUCCCCCGCUCCCCCGCGUACAUGACGUCCCGCCUGCUCCGUCCUCUGUCACGGAGGCGCUCUGGCGCAUGAGGCGAUGGCCGCCCUGCCUCGGCCUGCGUGUACAGUCCCACUGUGGAUGGUGAGUUCUGAAGCCAGAAGAGGAGAAGAGUCCCCUCAAGAUCCAAAACAGAGCUCUGAAAGAAAGAAGCACUAAAAUCAAGUUGCCAGGGACACAUGCAUGGAAAGGGAUGAAGUGAGACCUUAUCUCAGCAGAGAAUCAUGGAGAAUGGAAGGAGAAAGGAAGUUUGGAAGUAUGUGAAGCUGCAAAGGUGCUCAGGUUUAUUGUUGUGAAAGAGAAUAAAGGGGAAGAAAGGGAGAAAGGCAGGUGGUAUGGCAGGCUUGUGGGACAUAGGAUGGAGUAGGAAAAGCAGAGAGAUAAUGAGUGAAGCAGUUGCCACAAAUAGGGAAGAAAAUGUGGAAGAGCUAGAACAGUCAUUUGAAAAGCUGGAGACUUAUGGAUGAUUUUCAGGAGCACGGAGAUAUGGGGAAUGCUGAAAGCAUGAGCAGCUGCAGAUUAGCAGGAUCAGGGUUCCUGUGAGCCAGGAAAUCAGAGGUCCCAACAGGUGUUUAGUGCUUUGCCCUUUGUUUACAUAGCAGUGUGGGUGGGAGGGGAGGCAGUGCCCACUGCUUGGGAUAGGAGAGCAGUUUUCCUGGCAGCCUGGAACUGCUCUGUCCAGCAGCUCAGCCACAGAACAGUCACUGUGUAGAUAAAGCAGGUUCUUCCCAAAAGGCCCAGGAAGGUGUGAAAAUCUACAGCCCCCAUAAAAAUUAAAAUUGAUAGGUGGAGGUGAGUAGUUGGAAGGAGGGCAAGGUAAUUCUAGCAGAGAAGCUUGAAAAUAGUGAUCAUAUUUGCAGACAGAUGACCAAGCAUGCAUAGUCCUUAUUUAAUUGUUGUAUUUCAAGCAAUAGAGCCAGCAAUGAAAAACAAACUGUUAUGAUGUUUGGUUGAGUCACGUAAUUGCCUGUGACCUCAGAGCUAAGACUAACCUGAACUGUGGGGAUGAUUCUAAUGACAACCUUACUAUUAGAUAUGCAAUUACCAAUCUAUAAUUACAAGCUAAAUUGUAGAACACUGGCUGUUCCUCUGUUUACAGUGAAACCUGACUCUUCUAUAUAAGAACAUUACUAAAUGUGACAAAAUUAAAAAUAAAUUCAUUAUUCAGUGAACAAAAUAUAUAUUUAAAUACUUUCUUUGAAAAAGUAAGUAAAACACCCAGUCAUGUUUCAUGAAAAGUAAUGAUUAUUGUUAAAUACUAAUUACCCUUACUGUGAAAAACUACAAAUAGCAGCAGAAGGUUAACCAUGGUGGCAUCUCUGUCAUAACUUGACAAUAUUAAAGACAGGAAUGCAAAAAGGAAACUUUUUACUAAUAAUCCUGGAUUAAAGAUAUUCUGUCAGCCUUAUGCAUGAGAUGUAUCCUUUCUAGCAGAACAUUUCAUAGAUAAGGGGGCCAUCCUAAAGGCUUGUGAGGCUUUGGAUGCAGCAGCUGCCCAUUCCUUAUGGUGCUCACGUGAAGCAGUUUGACAUGCUGGACCUCCUGCUGCUGUACAGAGGCAUGUCCAGUGAGGUCAGACUUCCUGAGAGGCAGGAUCCCAGCCUCUGCAAGAGGUUCAGGGCCUCUGACAGAGAGCAUCACGUGGCUUGGCUGUGUGCUUGCAUGAUUGCCAAAUGUGGUGUAAGACAGGCAACAGGAGACUAGGGGAGAUGAGGAGCAGGCUUCUCUUUUCAGUCACAGCUUGCUCUUCGAAGUGUCACAGUGACAUGAAACUGCACCAUGAGUGAGGAGCUCCUGAGCACUGCUUGUGGCCUCCAUAUCUACUCCAGUAAUUCUGCCAGCAGCUGAAUUAACUGCUCAGGGUUGGUAUCUGUCAGGUACAAAGAGUGGUAGCUAGGUGCUUGAGAGCACUGCAAGGUUCAAUUAAUAAUGUUUGCUAACUAUUAAUUAAGUGUUUUAAGUUCUAAAGUGUUGAUGAGAAAUGCCUGAACGUUGAAUCAUCGUGUUCUAGUUGUCCCAAAGGUUCAUUCAGCUGAUAAACAACAGGGCCAGAGGUUUAUUUAUCCAAAAAUCAAGACAGCACAGCAUGUGGCCCCAGUGUCUUACGGAAACCUGUUAUCAUGAUGCAAUUAUUUAUUUUUGAGGAGAGAAUCUUUGAUUUGUUUUGCCAGAGCUGUUUUGCCUCCUGCAGAUACAAUCUGUCAUGAUUCAGUUUUGCAUCUAUAAUAUAAAUAUAUUUGCCAUGUCAAGGAGCAACAUCUGACUGAAUGUGGCUUUAUUUCUACUUCUGUAUUAGUUUUUCUCAGUUGUAAAAGAGAAAUGUCACAGGGCUUGCAUUUGGUAUUCAAGACCUGUGCAGUAAUUGCCUUGAAAGCAGGGAGAAUCCAUAGCUUCAGACAAGGAACUGACUAUUAACAGCCGAGAUUAAAGGCUGCAGUCCAGCAAUGGUGGGAGAUCUGGGUAGCUCUUUAACACUCAUGUGACAAUAAUCUGCCACAGUAUUAGGCUGAGGCAUGAAAAAAGUUUGAGGAGACUCAGGCCUUAAACAUACGCAGCGUGGAUUGAGGGGCCAGAAAGGUGAUGUUUUAAAAGGCAAGCAUAUCCAUGUGAGAUAAACUAAUAGACAAUACCUGCCCCUGCAAAUUUACUGGAAUAAGAAGCAUCCCUGUGAUUCAGCAUGGCUCAGAUAUAUCUUGGCUGAAAAACUGUAUUUCAGCUCAGGCUUCUGUGCCAGAUACAUCCGCCUUCUUCACUAAGUACUCUGUCUCAGUAAGGAGUUCAGCUGGUCCACUGUGGAGGAGUGAAAAUCACCUUUCAAACGUGGACAUUUCUGCUGUUUCCUUCUUCAUGUAUUAUCAAUGUGUAUUGUAAAGGAUACCAUAAAAGGAUGUAAUUUGUCCAAGACCAAGUAUCAAAGAUGCUAUCACAUCUUCUGGUUAUAUAUUUUAUAUUUUUAUUUUAUAAAAAAUUUAUAUUUAAAAUAUAAUAUUUUAAUUUUUAAAAAUGUUUUAUGGAUGAAAUUUUGUGGAAUGAUUGAGGACUAAAUGCAUAUUAUCAUUAAAAACAAGUCCAAAAAUACAUGGGCAAAUCCAGAAAAAAAUCCCAAAAAACAGAAAGUAAAGUUUCAUAGAAUAAAAUGUUUUAUUCCUGAGAGAUUUGCCCAUGGCUUGAUUUGUGUGUAUUUUAAAAGAUUUACCUUAUUGGAGUCCAUCAAUUUUCCAGUAUUGCAAUAUCUAUGCAGCCUGUGACGAUCUAUGUGUACCUUUGCUAGUUGUUACCUUACAUUUCUAGCACUUCUCUCACUAAUCCAGCACUUUUGCAUGUAUGGAGCCCUUUGCCCUGAGCUAAUGACACAAAAUGUUUCAGUAUAUGUCUGAUAAUGUGGCACAAAAGAAAUCUCAUUAUUUUCAGUGGGGCUUUUGUAAGGCUAACUGGUGAUCAUUGCCUGGGCCGUUGCUGUUCUACUGAUGUGUGCAGACUCCUCCAAAGUGGAGUAAUACACACAGAGUCUGUGUUUAGUCUUACUUCCAUAGUGCUGUUACUACCCUGGUCAGGCUUCAUCCGUUUCACGGGCUGUACAACUUCAUUUGUUUUGCCAAAGAUUCAGCACUAGUUUUCCUACCUUCUGGGAAUUUUGUUCCAGGUAAUAAACAUGAUUUU